rnacentral:tRNA from 1 species
AAAUAAGAAGCAAAUUUGCAUUCAGUUUCGACCUGACGUUUGGUGACUCUUCACCCUUAUUUA